rnacentral:rRNA from 1 species
AACGAACGCUGGCGGCGUGCCUAACACAUGCAAGUCGUGCGAGAAAGUUCCUUCGGGAGCGAGUAAAGCGGCGCACGGGUGAGUAACACGUAGGUAACCUGCCCCCCAGUCUGGAACAACUAGAGGAAACUCUAGCUAAUGCCGGAUGAGACCACGAUCCCUUCGGGGGUUGCGGCCAAAGAUGGCCUCUACUUGUAAGCUAUCGCUGAGGGAUGGGCCUGCGGGCCAUUAGCUUGUUGGUGAGGUAACGGCUCACCAAGGCUGUGAUGGCUAGCUGGUCUGAGAGGAUGACCAGCCACACUGGGACUGAGACACGGCCCAGACUCCUACGGGAGGCAGCAGUGGGGAAUAUUGCGCAAUGGCGAAAGCCUGACGCAGCGACGCCGCGUGGGUGAUGAAGGCCU